AAGUGAAAGAGCCAUAGCUCAGGUUCAAAUUGUGAAUUUUCCUCAAGUGCAAAUAAUCUAGAUGAUGACUUUGUUAAAAUAUUUGGUAAGUGUCCCCCUUCUGCGACAUUUUUGGACUGUAUUUGGAAUCAUCUAUUUGUCCUUGGUUGUCUCCAGGUCACCUGUCCCUACUGCUUUGGAGCAAAGGUCAUCUCCAUCAUAAGAACUCAUACAAUUCUGACUUUGGG